AAGUCGUAACAAGGUAACCGUAGGUGAACCUGCGGUUGGAUCAUUAAAAAAAUAAAGAUUGCGGAGCACUCUCAUUGAAAAGUGAAAGUGCGUUUGUACGCCACAUCUUGUGAACUCGUAACCGUCUCUGGCGAGGGGGAAAGCAAACUCUUUUGCGGUUUUUGCUUUUUCGUCAGCUCCGAACUCUUUUGUGCCCUCUCGGGUCGAAAGGUUUUAGAGCCGUGGACAUCUCGCCAACCGCCCCCCUUUUGGGUGGCGUCCUUUUUUGGUCACUUUCUGUAAAUUGCUUUGGGAAUUGAUUCUAAAUGGUUGUGAAAAUAAACAAAUGAUAUUUAAAACAACUUUUGGCAACAGAUCUCUUGGCUCUC
rnacentral:misc_RNA from 1 species